ensembl:lncRNA
AGGAGGACUCGCCAAUGAAUUAUCAUAAUAAUUAUGAUAAUAAUAUGAAUACUACUACAGACAAUAACAGCCAGUACGACAACGACCAGUACAAUAACGAUCAAUAUAAUAGCGAACAGUACAAUAACGACGGGUACAAUAACAACAGAAAUAACAACGACAAAUAUAAUAACAAAUACAAUAACAACUAUAAUAACAAGUACCAUAAUAACUAUAAUAACAAGCACAAUAAUGAAAGAGGUAGUGGUAGCAAAUAUAAUGGAGAUAGAUACAAUGUAGAUAGGUGCAGUGACGAUAGAUACAACGGCGAUAGGUAUACUAACAAUAAGUACAACAAUAACAAACACAACAACAAGCACAAUAUUGAAAGGCACAAUAUUGAAAGGCAAAAUAACGACAGACAAAACAUCGACAGGUACAAUGUUGACAGGCAAAAUAAUAACAGACAAAAUAACGACAGACAAAACAACGACAGGCAAAAUAAUGAACGGCAAAAUAACAACAGGUACAACAAUAAUAGAUAUAAUAGCAAACAUAACAACAAGUAUUAUAAUGAGAAAUAUUAUAACGAUAAAUAUAAAACCGAUCGGUAUAAUAAUGACAAUUACAAUAGUAACAAGUACAAUAGCGAUAGAUAUAAUAAUCAUAAUGACAAGAAGAAUAUGCCUUAUGGUUCUGAAACAAACUAUACUGGAAUGCUUGAGCACACACACAAACGAGUCCGUAUGAACCUAUACGAAGAGAACGUUAACACGGGCUACACAGAGAACCGAAAUUCGAAUGCUUCACAGUUUGAUAAACUAAUAAAAUUAUAUGAAGAAAAUAAAAAUGUAAAUACUCCACACCCAUAUAAUAAUGAUAAUAAAGAAAUAGAGACACUAAUACACAAAUUAAUACAAAGUAUGACCAAUAAGAAAGAACGUAGGGUAAAAUUAUUUUUAUGUGAACAGCUCAAAAAAUGUGCACCACAUGUUUUUAAUAAAGCUACAUCAAAUUUAAGAGUAACGAAUAUUAAUCAAAUAAACAUGUACAGAGACACAAACAACAACUAUAACCGUAACCAACAAAAUGAACAAAGCACAUUGUCGCUUGACCUAAAUAGAAACGAUACAUAUACAGAUAGUACGAAUAACUUUAUGAGUUGGAAUGAAAAUAUAGCAAUAAAGAAUAAUUCAAAUAUGCCCAAAAGUAAUACUACUAUCAAUAUGUCUGGUGCAAAUGGUCUUACUACUAUUGCUCAUGAUUUUACUCCUACAUAUGACACUACUAGUAGUAUACGUAAUCCUAUUCCAGCUCGCGAUCAAGCUUCAUUAAAUGAUUAUAUUCCACAGGAUAACAAUGAUUCUCAAGACGACCCUAUUAUACAGUUCCCCGGUAUUCCUAUGCAUAAACCUGUCUCCGUGGAAGAUUCUAUUUCUGCUUUUAAUUCUAUUAUUGCACAUGAUCGUAUGUUGAGUGCCACACGUAACGCUGCGUUGGAUCCUAAUCUUAUACUCCAACACAUUCCUUCACAUAUUCUAAAUGAUGCGUAUAAAUACAUUCCUCCGCAUAAUCCAAAUACAACUGUGUAUGACUCUACAUCCACUCCACAUGAUUCUGCUAUAACUCCGCUUAGCCCCAUCAAUACUAUCAACCCUAACACUGUUACAACGCAUGCUUCUUCUUUUAAUCAAACAAAUGAAACAAUUUGGAUGGGUACACUAGAAAUGCGCAAUAAAGAAAGUCUUAAAAUUAACGCAUAUGCUUUAAAUGGAUUAAAUAAACGUGAAUUUUUAAAUAGUAACAUGAAAAAUAUUACUAUAGGUCAUAGAAGAAGAUUGAAGGAAUUACCAACAGGAGAACAAACUUACUAUUUUGAAAUGAAAGAAACAAAAGAUGUCGAAAUUUAUAAUUCUUAUAAAAAUUAUUUUACUUCGAAAGGUUGUGUAGGUUUAGCUUCAACAGAACAGGAUUGGCAUAUGUAUAUAGUAUUUCCUGGUAAUUCUAUGUUUAAUGAAAUUUGGUACAGUAACAUAAGCGAUAUGAAUGAUUAUAAUCGCAUCACCCAUUUCAAUAAAAAUAUAGAUAACAUUUUUAUUGGUGUGGUUUAUUAUAAUUCGCAUGUAUCUGAUAUAAAUACAGCAGCAUUAGGAUCAAAUAAUAUAGAUGAUGGAGUAAAAAAUAAUUUUGAUAAAGGAAAUUUUAUUAGUUCUAACGGUACCAAUAAUGGUGUCGCAAUGGAUAGACAUAAUAUGAACACAGAAUAUACGAAUAUUGGUGAUAGGUAUACCAACACUAUAAACAAUAAUAGAAUGGACAAAAAUAAUAAUAUGUUUAUAAACACGAAUAUUAAUAGUAGUAAUAUUGAUAGUAGUAAUAGUAAUAGUAAUAAUAAUAAUAAUAAUAAUAAUAAUAAUAAUAAUAAUAAUGAAAACACAUUUUUAAAUAUACAAAUCAAAAAGGCAGAGUCAGAAUAUAUAAAACAGAAUAGACACAGUAAUAUUAUUACUAAUAAUUUCAAUAAUCCUAAUGAAAAAUUUUUAAGAUGGGAAUCUAAUACUACUGUUUCUGAUGCUACUACUAGUACUAGUAGCAUUAAUAUGAGCACAAAACAUGAUCAAAACAAUUAUUUAUCAAAUAAUAAUAACCAAGCAAUAGUACAACAAACAAAUGACCGAUUAAACAAUUGUAAUGUAUUAUAUGAAAAUGAACAAAAUCAAUUUACAGAAAAUAAAAAUGACGAAAAUCAAUUUACAGAAAAUAAAAAUGACGAAAAUCAACUAAUAAAAAAUAAAAAUGAAUUACCUGGCUGGCUUAAUCAAUUUAGUUCAUUAGCAGCUUAUCUUAGUAAAAAAUAGUUUCUAAACGGUUUAAAAAAAAAAAAAAAAAAAAAAAAAAAAAAAAAUAGAACUUAAUUAAAAUUCGAAACUUAUUCCAUUUUUUGUUGUCUAUCGAGU